UGCUCUCUACCCCAAAGGCUGAUGGAAUUGCUGACCCUUCAAGUUCUCUUCUCAUCUGCACCCGUGCACCCCCUGUGGAUUUGCUCCUGGGCCUGAGUUUCCCCUACUUCCCUGAUGGUGUCUGGAGGGCAAGGGGUAUCUGUCUAUCUACUGAGUGUCAUAAACUGCCGAACUUAGCACACCCACCCUCUACCUCUUCCCAGGAGGAUUUCCUAAAGAUUUCUUUCUCCUGACUGUUUUCUGGACCCGUCCUGGUCUCCAAGCUCCCCUCCUGAUUCUCUGCAGUGCCCAGGUGUCCAACAGUUGAGCCUGGAGCCAGGCCAACUUGUCAGCUUCCUGUAUGAGGAUCAGACUGGACGACUUCAACCUGCUUAGCCGGUCUUCUGAGGCCUCACCCUAGUAGUUGGCAAGUGGCACCGUGUGGCUAUGGCCAUGAAGGGCCAGUCUGUCACCCUCAUUGUUGACUGCAAGAUGUGAGUCACCCGGCCUCUCCCCUGAAGAACUAGUCCAGUGUUGGACACCUGUGGGGUGAUAAUUGUUGGUGCCUGUAUCCCAGAUGAAGAAAGUCUUUGAGGUUGCUGCCCAUGGGCCCCGGGGUCUGAAGGGAGAGAAGAGAGAGCCUGCAGUGCUGGAACCUGGUAUGCUCUUGGAGGGGCCCCCUGGUUUAGAAGGCCCU
rnacentral:lncRNA from 1 species